UCUUAGAGAGACCUGUGCUGACAAGCUCUUUUUACCUUUCAGGAAGUAGCUAACCUAUAACCACCGCAUCAGAACAGGAGCAAGAGUAGCACAGCAUUCUGGCUUUGAGAAGAUUCAGGGAGAGGAGAGACCAGAGGCUGAAAGAAGUAAAGAAAGAGUUCCUGCCUCUUAGAGUUGUUGUGAAGAUUAAAUGGGUAAAUGCAGGCAAAGCACUUUUGAACUUUACCUGGCGCCUGGCAGAAAGCACCCAGUUGAUGACAACAUCCAAGGUUGGUCAUGGGGUGAAUUACCAAAGUGGAAUGGAUCUGAAGGUCAACAUAAUUGAGGCAAUCAAGGAACUAUAAGGUUCAGCACCUGGAAAAGUCAUUCAAAACAAUGGACCUAGAGUUAUCCCCAUCCAUAUCACACCCAGAGUGAAAGACCGCUGCCAACUGAUGCCAAUGGCUGUUGGACCACGCCGACUGAGGUGUCAUGGCUGGGCCUCAAGAGCACUGGAUUGGCAGCUGAGUAGGCCUGUCCUGAUAUUUCACUUAUCUCCGACAAGUGCAUUUUAGCCAAUUGAAUUUUGUGGGCUGCCACUUAAAUGUGUUCUGACGGGGUUUUAUUCCAUUUUCCUCUGGUGCAGAUCAAUAGUAGGUGGGAAGCUUGCCCACUUCCCCACCUCAGGUGACGCUACGUUACUAGCUCUGUGCGCUACAUUUUUUUUUCUCUGCAUGUUGAAAGAACUUGCAUUUUUUUUCUGUGUCUCUGUGUAUCUUUCCAUCAAACCACAUCUCCCUGUGAUAAUUGUAUGUGAUUGAAGUAAAAAAAUGAUGUACUCCUUUUAGAAGCUAGACUAACAAAAGUCAAAUAAAUAAAUAAAUAAAUAAAUAAAUAAAUAAAUAACUGACUUCUCAUAACAAAUUGGGGAAAAUUUGAUUUGAACUGUUUCUUAUCAUUGGAUAAAUUU